CAGUACCUACGGGAGGCAGCAGUGGGGGAUAUUGCACAAUGGGGGAAACCCUGAUGCAGCGACGCCGCGUGUGGGAAGACGGUCCUCUGGAUUGUAAACCACUGUCCCCAGGGACGAAAAUGACGGUACCUGGGGAGGAAGCUCCGGCUAACUACGUGCCAGCAGCCGCGGUAAUACGUAGGGGGCAAGCGUUAUCCGGAUUUACUGGGUGUAAAGGGAGCGUAGACGGCAGUGCAAGUCCGGAGUGAAAGCCCGGGGCUCAACCCUGGGACUGCUCUGGAAACUGUAAAGCUGGAGGGCGGGAG
rnacentral:rRNA from 1 species